rnacentral:rRNA from 1 species
AACGAACGCUGGCGGCAUGCCUAACACAUGCAAGUCGAACGAGACCUUCGGGUCUAGUGGCGCACGGGUGCGUAACGCGUGGGAAUCUGCCCUUGGGUUCGGAAUAACAGUUAGAAAUGACUGCUAAUACCGGAUAAUGUCUUCGGACCAAAGAUUUAUCGCCCAGGGAUGAGCCCGCGUAGGAUUAGCUAGUUGGUGAGGUAAAGGCUCACCAAGGCGACGAUCCUUAGCUGGUCUGAGAGGAUGAUCAGCCACACUGGGACUGAGACACGGCCCAGACUCCUACGGGAGGCAGCAGUGGGGAAUAUUGGACAAUGGGCGAAAGCCUGAUCCAGCAAUGCCGCGUGAGUGAUGAAGGCCUUAGGGUUGUAAAGCUCUUUUACCCGGGUAUGAUAAUGACAGUACCGGGAGAAUAAACCCCGGCUAACUCCGUGCCAGCAGCCGCGGUAAU